CUGAGAACGUGCACGCAGAAAGGAUGAACUGUUCCCGAGCCGUCCGCUCCUUUCCCGCAAAGGCCGCAAGAACCCCUUUCCCCCGCAGCCGCCGCAACCUUCUUACCGUCCUUCUCCACCCCGCGUCCCCGCUGCCUCCUCUCCCUCUUCCGCGGGACCAGAUGAAGCGGACAAGAGCGGCGGCUCGCCCGACCACCGUUCUACCCCGGUGCUUGUCCGAGCCGAGCGGUCGAUCCGCUAGCUCUCCCAGCCCCCGCGGCUUCGUCAUCUGCUCCUCCAUUGACGGCAGCUGGGGAUUGCAAAUGUCAGCGAGAAAGGCCAUCCAUCGUCCGAGCACACCGACGUCUCCCUCUCCCUUCUUCUGGUGGCACCUACUUAUGCGAGCUCCUUCUUCCAAUCCCUUGCGUUGCCUGUCUUCCUGCUCCUUCAGCUCCUCCUUCUCACAGCAUGUAUUUUCUAUUUGUUUUGCAAUUAUACUCCAUGGUCCCAUGGAUCUGGAAGUAGACAUUUUAGUGUUUUUCCUAUUCCAUAAUCUGCUUUUUUUUUGCUAAGAGUACAGUUUUCCUGCGUGGGGGAUUUGGCUGGUUAUAUAGGAUGGUAAUUGCCUCAAAUGAUUCAGGUUAAGAGUGACAAGAUGUUUAAAGGUACAAAGAUAAAUAGCGUGGAGAACAGAUCAGUGAUCCAUGUGGCUCUAAGGGCUCCAAGAGUGGUCCCUGAAGCUUAGGUCGUUAAGGAUAAAAUCAAGCAGUUUUCAGAAACUUUUAGGAGUGGCUCAUGGGUUGUCUGGUCUCAACUUGGUGGUAGCUUCCUUCAACCUCUGUUUCUGCAUGCAGCUCUCCAGACUGGCAAACAAAUAUUUUAUCCUCUCCUUUCUCUAGGUUUUCUAAACUGAGAUUUUAUAUACUGCCAGAUUUUGAUCUGAUAUAUCAUGAAAAUAUUACUAAUUUUCAGACCUGGAAGCAGCAGAGUCCGCCAAAGGCCGUCAACUGAGAGUGUAAAUGUGUAAAUGGGCAUGUUUCUGUGUUUCUUUUGCUGGCACCUGUUACAUGUUGUGCUAGCACUUCCUAUAGAUGCUCAAAAAUAUUAAAUGUGAUCGAGUAGUGCCACCAUUCAUGCAACCGUAUCCAGGAAUUCUUUCAUUGGGAGAAGAAGCAGGUGACUGGCCUUUACUGUGUUUUGUUAUGGUCCUCUCCUAUUUAGUGGUAGAUAUGAUGUAUAGGUUGAAGCAUGUGAUGUUUCUUUCAGUGCAUAUUUGUGCUUUACGACGUUUGAUGCACACACAUAGUUGAACCUCUUAUUCCAUGUAACACUUUCCAAAAGAAGAAUUUAUUAACCUUACUGUUUUUGCUCUUUUCAGAUUUUAGCCUGGGUGUAUAAACAUACAUGCCACCCGUUGUAUUUAAAUUUCAGUGCAAGAUUAAACUAGGGGAUUAAUCAUUUAUGGAAGUGAAAUGAUUGAAUAGCUAAUUGUAUAGAUUUAGUAUCGUAUCAUUUAUUUGUGACUGCAUGAUCUUAAUAGCGCAUCUCUGAAAAUAUGUUAGGCUCUUGCUCUUGUAAGAUUAGACUGAUGUGGUAUUGCUUUAUAAAUAAAUGUCACGCUAGCUUACCGGUUUGAUUUAGGUGUGUAGGCAGAGGCGAAAAAACAAUCAUAAUCUCAGGUUUAGGCAUGCACAUGGCCACUGAUCACAAAGUAGGUAGGCACAGGUGCAGUAUUGCGAUCUUUAGCAAGAAAAAGAGAAGUGCGGUUAAUUGUUCAGAUUUUAAGCUGCUCUUGAACCGUGCCCUAAUAACUAGAACUGUUGUGAUGUUGCUCUAUUAUAAGUGCCUUGCUCAAAAUGCUUCGUUAGGUCGCGUGUAUAACAAGGAGAAGGCUAGCUGAACCAUGCUAGAAAUAACAUUAAUGUGUUAUGCUUCAGAUAAGCCAAAUAUUUUGUGAUAAGCUUCUAUGGAAAUUACCUGGGGUUGGGAAGAAAGCAAAGAUGUAGCUAUCAUGUGUUGUGCAUGCUGGAAAUGCUUGUGUAUAGGAUCCUAUGCGUAUUAGCUUCUCCUUACCGGCAUAUGGUAAUAGUUGUGAUCCAAGAGAAGAAUGACGGUCUUAUAGCUCUGCCUUCGCCUGGCUCACAGUCCUUCGUGCUCUCCUCUUGGUAUAACAUUCAAUGGUAGUGAUAGCUUUGGGUGUGACUCUGCACCCUUUCAAGUAAUCGUGUUCCCCCAAUGAAAUCUUUAAUUUUACACUCAGUUUAUGAGAAAACAACUGGACUAAUGGUUAAUGAUCCAGUGUUGAGAAAAAAAAUGUAAUGUGCAUUGAGUGGCUUUAGUUUUCUUUCCCAUCAUACAAUGUACCUUUACGUUUUCCUAAAUUUUAAUUAUUGGAAGGCCCCUUAGUAUUGCCAAA